UUGCAUAAGAUCAAUGCACCUUACAGCAUCACGAUGCGGCUGAAUGAAUUUUAACUGAGCAUUUCGAUGCACUUUUGAUAUUUUUGGAUAACAUUAGUCAGCUCGGAGCUCUGAACAAGAUUCCACAAAAUUUUUUGAUUUUAAUCCGUACCGUUGGUGACAUUGGUGCAUAGCCCAUUUUUGUCUACAGAGAGAGAGUGGUGGAAAACUGGUUGUGGUGGCAAUCGGUAGUGCCUGAAAUUCUAA